rnacentral:rRNA from 1 species
AGAGUUUGAUCCUGGCUCAGGACGAACGCUGGCGGCGUGCUUAACACAUGCAAGUCGAACGAUGAAGUUCCUUCGGGAAUGGAUUAGUGGCGAACGGGUGAGGAACACGUGAGAAACCUGCCCAUCAUUUUGGGAUAACACCGGGAAACCGGUGCUAAUACCGAAUACUCCAUCGCAACGGCAUCGUUGCGCUGGGAAAGAAUUUCGAUGAUGGAUGGUCUCGCGGCCUAUCAGCUUGUUGGUGAGGUAACGGCUCACCAAGGCGACGACGGGUAGCCGGCCUGAGAGGGCGACCGGCCACACUGGGACUGAGACACGGCCCAGACUCCUACGGGAGGCAGCAGUGGGGAAUAUUGGGCAAUGGACGCAAGUCUGACCCAGCGACGCUGCGUGAGGGAUGAAGGCCUUCGGGUUGUAAACCUCUUUCAGUGGGGAAGAAGCGAAAGUGACGGUACCCAAAGAAGAAGCACCGGCUAACUAUGUGCCAGCAGCCGCGGUAAUACAUAGGGUGCAAGCGUUGUCCGGAAUUAUUGGGCGUAAAGAGCUCGUAGGUCGUUUGACACGUCGGAUGUGAAAAUCUGAGGCUUAACCUCAGACCUGCAUUCGAUACGGUCAAACUAGAGUGUGGUAGGGGAGACUGGAAUUCCUGGUGUAGCGGUGGAAUGCGCAGAUAUCAGGAGGAACACCAAUGGCGAAGGCAGGUCUCUGGGCCAUUACUGACACUGAGGAGCGAAAGCGCGGGGAGCGAACAGGAUUAGAUACCCUGGUAGUCCGCGCCGUAAACGGUGGGCACUAGUUGUGGGAACCUUCCACGGUUUCCGCGACGCAGCUAACGCAUUAAGUGCCCCGCCUGGGGAGUACGAUCGCAAGAUUAAAACUCAAAGGAAUUGACGG